rnacentral:siRNA from 1 species
ACAAAAUAACCAUGGACCCACGUU